rnacentral:rRNA from 1 species
AAUCAACGCUGGCGGCGUGCCUCAGACAUGCAAGUCGAACGAUUAAAGCUCUCUUCGGAGAGUGUAUAGAGUGGCGCACGGGUGAGUAACACGUAAGUAAUCUACCCUCGAGUGGGGAAUAACAACCGGAAACGGUUGCUAAUACCGCAUAAUGCAGCGGCACCGCAAGGUGACAGUUGUUAAAGAUUUAUCGCUUGAGGAGGAGCUUGCGGCAGAUUAGCUAGUUGGUAGGGUAACGGCUUACCAAGGCUACGAUCUGUAACCGGUCUAAGAGGACGGUCGGUCACACUGACACUGAAUAACGGGUCAGACUCCUACGGGAGGCAGCAGUCGGGAAUUUUGGGCAAUGGGCGAAAGCCUGACCCAGCAACGCCGCGUGAAGGAUGAAGUAUUUCGGUAUGUAAACUUCGAAAGAAUAGGAAGAAUUAAUGACGGUACUAUUUAUAAGGUCCGGCUAACUACGUGCCAGCAGCCGCGGUAAUGUCUGUACU